rnacentral:rRNA from 1 species
GGGCCCGCACAAGCGGUGGAGUAUGUGGUUUAAUUCGAUGCAACGCGAAGAACCUUACCAGGGUUUGACAUCCUGCGAAUCUCUUGGAAACGAGAGAGUGCCUUCGGGAACGCAGUGACAGGUGGUGCAUGGCUGUCGUCAGCUCGUGUCGUGAGAUGUUGGGUUAAGUCCCGCAACGAGCGCCAACCCACGUCUUUAGUUGCCAGCAUUUAGUUGGGCACUCUAGAGAGACUGCCGGUGAUAAACCGGAGGAAGGUGUGGAUGACGUCAAGUCAUCAUGCCCCUUACAUCCUGGGCUACACACGUACUACAAUGCUACGGACAAAGAGCAGCAAGUUCGCGAGGACAAGCAAAUCUCAUAAACCGUGGCUCAGUUCAGAUCGUAGGCUGCAACUCGCCUACGUGAAGGAGGAAUCGCUAG